GACGAACGCUGGCGGCGUGCUUAACACAUGCAUGUCGAACGGAAAGGCCCUGCUUUUGUGGGGUGCUCGAGUGGCGAACGGGUGAGUAACACGUGAGUAACCUGCCCUUGACUUUGGGAUAACUUCAGGAAACUGGGGCUAAUACCGGAUAGGAGCUCCUGCUGCAUGGUGGGGGUUGGAAAGUUUCGGCGGUUGGGGAUGGACUCGCGGCUUAUCAGCUUGUUGGGGGGGUAGUGGCUUACCAAGGCUUUGACGGGUAGCCGGCCUGAGAGGGUGACCGGCCACAUUGGGACUGAGAUACGGCCCAGACUCCUACGGGAGGCAGCAGUGGGGAAUAUUGCACAAUGGGCGGAAGCCUGAUGCAGCAACGCCGCGUGCGGGAUGACGGCCUUCGGGUUGUAAACCGCUUUCGCCUGUGACGAAGCGUGAGUGACGGUAAUGGGUAAAGAAGCACCGGCUAACUACGUG
rnacentral:rRNA from 1 species